rnacentral:tRNA from 1 species
UGAAGCUUAAGUUAGUUAGACUAAAGGAUUCAUGCUCCUCAAGCGCGAAAGCAGCUUCAA